UAGAAUAUAGCUCAAUGGUAGAGCACUUGUCAAAUAUGUGUGAGGCACUGGGUUCAAUCCCCAGUAUUGAAC
rnacentral:tRNA from 1 species